UCCACAGAAAGAGACCAAAACGUGUGGUUAAAGUAGACAAAGAGGAGAAGAAUGGUGAUGGUACCGAAGAUGUGGAAAAACUGGCACAAGUACAGAAUGAUGAGAAAGGUGCACAAAAGAAACAAUCCGAUGACCUCUGGGCUCGUUUCUUGUCUGAUGUUGCCCCCAGACCGAAAGCAUCGAUGGCUGGGUCACCAUCUCACACCACACCGGAGGCUAAUCCUUCUGCUUCUAAUGUUUGUAUGAGAACUGAAUCACAGGAAUCGGAUACAGCAAAAGUCACCAUCGUGAAAGUUUUUGAUUUCGCGGGAGAAGAAGUCAG